GGGAACAGCUCACAAUGCACAUACAACAAGCUAGAUACAAAGAUUGGCGAAAAGCAUAUAGCUUGGAGAUGCCACUAUCCUCUUGCACGCCGAAAACCAAGGCGAAAGCGAAGUCCUGGUCAGGAGAGUGCACCGACGACGAUGCAAGGCACGCCGUUGCCAAAAUCUGGGCUUGAAGAAAGACACAUCCAUCCAGAUCCAUCGUCAAAGAAGGCCCCUGCCUCCUCGCCUGGCUCGAAGGCGCCGCACUGUUGAGCGAUGGACAUGCUCACCUAGAGCCUAGAUGGAUGGCCUCGAAGAAACCACCUGUGCGGAACCAGGCGUUCCCGACAUGCCGACGACGAACUCACCUAGAGCAGAGCAACACCAAAUGCCAAAGUUCGGACAUGGAAGAGGGCGAGCGGACAGAAUGAACAAAUGGGCAACAGCUAGGGCCAAGACCAAAUUGGGAGCUUCGGCUCGCUCGACGAGCUGAAGUUUCGCCACCGUACGAGGGGAACCCUACCCCCUCCCGACCUGGAAGAUCCAAGGGCACCGGAGGAAAAAACUGCAGCCCGACGAAGAGCACCAUAACACCUUGACCCAGCACCAAGGAAGACACCGCCACCGUUGGACGCACGCUGCCGCCGCCGACACACUCCACCUACACCACA
rnacentral:lncRNA from 1 species